rnacentral:rRNA from 1 species
UCUGGUUGAUCCCGGCGGAGGUUACUGCUAUCGAGGUUCGACUAAGCCAUGCGAGUCGAAUGUAGCAAUACAUGGCGUACUGCUCAGUAACACGUGGACAACCUACCCUUAGGCCUGGGAUAACCCCGGGAAACUGGGAAUAAUACCGGAUAUAUCGCGAAGGCUGGAAUGCAUCGCGAUAGAAAGCUCCGACGCCUAAGGAUGGGUCUGCGGCCUAUCAGGGUAGUAGUGGGUGUAAUGUACCUACUAGCCUACGACGGGUACGGGUUGUGAGAGCAAGAGCCCGGAGAUGGAUUCUGAGACACGAAUCCAGGCCCUACGGGGUGCAGCAGGCGCGAAAACUUUACAAUGCUGGCAACAGCGAUAAGGGGACCUCGAGUGCCAGGAUACAAUCCUGGCUGUCGUAAUGCCUAAAAAGCAUUGCAUAGCAAGGGCCGGGCAAGACCGGUGCCAGCCGCCGCGGUAACACCGGCGGCUCGAGUGGUAACCGCUAUUAUUGGGUCUAAAGGGUCUGUAGCCGGCUGAAUAAGUCUCUUGAGAAAUCUGGCAGCUCAACUGUCAGGCUUUCAGGAGAUACUGUUCGGCUCGAGACCGGGAGAGGUGAGAGGUACCUCAGGGGUAGGGGUGAAAUCUUGUAAUCCUUGAGGGACCACCAGUGGCGAAGGCGUCUCACCAGAACGGAUCUGACGGCAAGGGACGAAAGCUAGGGGCACGAACCGGAUUAGAUACCCGGGUAGUCCUAGCCGUAAACGAUACUCGCUAGGUGUCGGCCACGGUGCGACCGUGGUCGGUGCCGUAGGGAAGCCGUGAAGCGAGCCACCUGGGAAGUACGGCCGCAAGGCUGAAACUUAAAGGAAUUGGCGGGGGAGCACUACAACGGGUGGAGCUUGCGGUUUAAUUGGAUUCAACGCCGGAAAUCUCACCGGGACCGACAGCGAUAUGAAGGCCAGGCUGAAGACCUUGCCGGAUUAGCUGAGAGGUGGUGCAUGGCCGUCGUCAGUUCGUACUGUGAAGCAUCCUGUUAAGUCAGGCAACGAGCGAGACCCA